GUGCUCACUUCUACAGCACAUGUACUAAAAUUGGAACAACACAGAGACAGUUAGCAUGGCUCCUGUGCAAGGAUGGCAUGGAGAUUAAUGAAGUGUAAAUAAGAAAA